CAGUCGCCGCGGUAACACGUAGGUGGCAAGCGUUGUCCGGAAUUAUUGGGCGUAAAGGGCUCGCAGGCGGUUUCUUAAGUCUGAUGUGAAAGCCCCCGGCUCAACCGGGGAAGGUCAUUGGAAACUGGGAAACUUGAGUGCAGAAGAGGAGAGUGGAAUUCCACGUGUAGCGGUGAAAUGCGUAGAGAUGUGGAGGAACACCAGUGGCGAAGGCGACUCUCUGGUCUGUAACUGACGCUGAGGAGCGAAAGCGUGGGGAGCGAACAGGAUUAGAUACCCCCGUAGUCCCUGUCUCUUAUAA
rnacentral:rRNA from 1 species